rnacentral:lncRNA from 1 species
CUUAAUCAUCUAAGCACAAUUCAGAUGUUUUCAAUUAGUCUUUUCAGUUUACAUCAUGGAGGGAGAUGCUGAAUCAGAGUUUACCCAGCCUGCUCUUGCAUCAGGAUUACUGGCUGAGCUUGGUAAAAUUACAGAUCACUCCUAGUAGUUCUGAUCUAGGACCAUUUUGGAGGAAUCUAGAAGCUUUUCGGUUUUGGUGACAACACUGGUAACAUCCAACCUAGUAUCCAAUGACAUCAUAAAGGAAACUUAGAACUGAAUGAUAAUGAAAAUAUAGAGUCAAAAUCUGUAAUGUAAAAUUCAAGCAACAGUCUCAUCGCAGCAUCCUUCCACGGUCAUGCCCUGGACCAUCUUAUUCCUGACUGUCGCCUCACAUUCCAGCAGUGAAGGUGCUAUGAGGUUUCAAGCAAAUUUCCUUCAUGAAUACUUCAAUGGCUUCCAGUUUUGCACUAAUUCAGAAAAGGAUACAAUGAAUCUCCAAAUAUACAGUCUUCAUGCAUUGAUUUGAAUUAAUCAAUGAAGAAUAAAC